rnacentral:lncRNA from 1 species
UUUAACAAUGAUUACUCUUGAUUUAUAAUUAUCCUUCAUUUGGAUAGAUUUCAACCUUAUGGAGGAUAAUAACUAAUACAAUUCUAACCCUUAUCAACUACUUUAUGUUGCCUAUAAAUACUAAUGUCGUACACAUAUUUUGCCAAGAACACCAUUCUUUUAACUUUGGUUCUGUUCUUUAAAUUCAAUAGCUUCCUUGCUUUUUUCUUUUUAAUGUCCAUCUAUUCCACACACAUAAACGGUUUCUCAAUUUCAAGGGCACCAAGACUCUUUUUUUUCACCAUAAAUAUUUUGCAAAAGUCAAAAUUGUUGGCACAUAUUUUAAAAGCAGAAAGCCAUUCUCCAUUUUAACUAUGUUCAAGGAAGCCGCAGAAGUCUAGAAAUUGAAACGAGGUAGGAUACCAUGUGCAAGUGAUUCAUCCUUGCAAUAUUAUAAUUUUUUUUUAUGUGAUUUAUUUCAUGAAAUGCUAAUUGACCUGCGGGUCCUUAUGAAAUGAAAUGUGAGAUCUCCUUCGAGUCAUCUCAAAUAUGUUAGAGUAUUCGAUUGAUCACCGAUUGCUCUUGAUGGAAUGAUGGUAUGGAAUGUUGUAAAUUCAUGUUUUAAAAGUUAUUAUAUUGUUUGGACGCACGUAUCCUACUGAGUAAUACUCAUUCCUUCAAUUUUAACAUUUCAGGUCAGAUUGGUCAACGUGGAUGGUGGCUGAGUGGUGGGCAGGUUGCCAAGUAAAAGAAAUUUUUUUAGGAAUCCAUAAUAAAUUUGUUAAGACAUUUUAUGUUUCUCUUUAAUUCCAUUUAUGACACUAUGUUUAUUUGAUUCAGUGUUUGAGUUUCAAUAAAUUAAGGUUUUUAAGUUUUAAA